AGAAGGCUUCUGGAACAUGGCCGUACAGCCUGGAAAACUCACAACAAUCCUUAUGUUCUUAAUCAUACUUUUCUGAUAGGAAUUAUUUCCUUCCCAUAAGGCUCUGCCACUUGGAUUUGCUUUUAUUAUCUCUUGUCAUUUGCAGAAAAAAUGCAAACAAAAGGACACCGUACUUUAAAAAGAAACAAGCCAUUAAUAAAGGUAAGCUUCCCUUUCCAAAAAUCCAUAUAAGACCAUUUCCUCUUCUUAGAGAAAUCUAAUAGUCCUAACCAAUACUAUGCAUAUAAAGAGAAGGGGGAAUUGCAGAUUGUGCAAAUCUUUAAGGCCCCUUCCACACCGCUAAAUAAAAUCCCACAUUUUCUGCUUUGAAUUGGAAUAUAUGGCAGUGUGGACUCAAAUAACUCAAUUCAAAGCAGAUAUUCUGGGUUAUAUUGCUGUAUUGAAGGGCCCUAAGACACAGGUAAGUGACCAGAUACAAAAAGAUGGUCAAGCUACUGUUUGUGUAAAAAAGUACAGGGACAAUUUUACCUCUGUAUGAAACUAUGCAUUGCAAAAAAAAAAAUCAAUUUCUGUACAAAAAUAUAGGCAUUUUGCCCUCCACCCUUUGAGUCGUAUCACUGUAGAGUAAAAAAAAUCUGUAAAAAUAAAACUGAGAUAGUUUCUAUACUGCAGUUUGUUAUUAAAGACACCUCCUAUAUUGCAAAA